rnacentral:lncRNA from 1 species
GUUCCAUAGGGCUCUGGCAAGUAGUGCACUAUAUAGGGAAUAGGGUUCCAUAGGGCUCUGGUCAAUAGUAGUGCACGACAGAAAGAUGCCUUUUUGGGACACUGACCAGUUGGUCAUGUAUGUGCCUCCUUUAGUAAAUGCUAAAGUUAAAAUAAACAAAACGUCAUAUUGUACAAGAACAACCAAUUGAUGUUGAUUUGUAAAUAUGCUUCUUCUGCUUUCUGAGCUGUUUGUUUUGACUGUGAUAAUGAUGGCGUGUUGGUUUUUUCUAUUGUGUUUAUGUCCAGUGUCUCUCCUACAGUACGUGAGUCCUGUUAUAGCUGGUAACGUGGAAUAGAGAAGUGGUUCUGUGGCCGUACAUAAACGGCCUGCCCUAUUCCCUAUUUAACUGCACUACUUUAGACCAGGGCCCUAUGGGUCGUGGUCAAAAGGUAGUGUGCACUAUGUAGGGAAUAAGGUGCAUUUUGGGGUCCAUCCUCAAUCUGUCCUGCUCCACAGAGGUCAGGGACCUGUUGGGAUCCAUCCUCAAUCUGUCCUGCUCCUCAGAGGUCAGGGGCCUGUUGGGAUCCAUCCUCAAUCUGUCCUGCUCCUCAGAGGUCAGGGGCCUGUUGGGAUCCAUCCUCAAUCUGUCCUGCUCCUCAGAGGUCAGGGGCCUGUUGGGAUCCAUCCUCAAUCUGUCCUGCUCCUCAGAGGUCAGGGGCCUGUUGGGAUCCAUCCUCAAUCUGUCCUGCUCCUCAGAGGUCAGGGGCCUGUUGGGAUCCAUCCUCAAUCUGUCCUGCUCCUCAGAGGUCAGGGGCCUGUUGGGAUCCAUUCCAAUUGAACUUGGUCAAUUCAGGAAAUAAACUGAUAUUCCAAUUCAAUAAUUAAAAUUAUUUCUAAAAUAACCUGAAAACGAGAAGCUAUUUAUUUCAAAAGUUUUUCCAUCUUUUAAUUAGGAAUCAGAUGGUGUUAGAGUGGAGGAGGGGGUUCAGAAAGGUUUUUCCAUCUGUUAAUUAGGAAUCAGAUGGUGUUAGAGUGGAGGAGGGGGGUUCAGAAAGGUUUUUCCUCUGUUAAUGCUGUCAUCUAGAUGAUCUGUUGUAUCCAGUUUAAAUGAAUCCAUGUGUCAGCGCGUGUUGACGGACGACCGAGGCACCACCUGUGCUCGUGUUGAAAAAGUAUUUGGUUUUAAAUAUACAGAAGUAUAAAAAGUUAAUAUAAUUGCUAAAAUAUACUUAAGUAUCAAAAGUAAAAGUUUAAAUCAUUUAAAAUUCUUUAUAUUAAGCAAAUCAGACGGCAGCAUUUUCUUGUUUUUUAAAAUGUUAUUUACAGACAUAAUUUACAAACUAGUGAGUCCACCAGAUCAGAGGCAGUAGGGAGGACCAGGGAUGUUCUCUGUUUAGUGAGUCCUCCAGAUCAGAGGCAGUAGGGAGGACCAGGGAUGUUCUCUGUUUAGUGAGUCCUCCAGAUCAGAGGCAGUAGGGAUGACUAGGGAUGUUCUCUGUUUAGUGAGUCUGCCAGAUCAGAGGCAGUAGAGAUGACCAGGGAUGAUCUCUGUUUAGUGAGUCCUCCAGAUCAGAGGCAGUAGGGACGACCAGGGAUGUUCUCUGUUUAGUGAGUCCUCCAGAUCAGAGGCAGUAGGGAUGACCAGGGAUGUUCUCUGUUUAGUGAGUCCUCCAGAUCCGAGGCAGUAGGGAUGACCAGGGAUGUUCUCUGUUUAGUGAGUCCUCCAGAUCAGAGGCAGUAGGGAUGACCAGGGAUGUUCUCUGUUUAGUGAGUCCUCCAGACCAGAGGCAGUAGAGAUGACCAGGGAUGUUCUCUUGAUAAGUGUAUAAAUUAGACUAUUUUCCUGUCCUGCUAAACAUUCAAAAUGUACUUUUGGCUGUCAGGGAAAACGUAUGGAGUAAAAAGUACAUUUUCUUUAGGAAUGUAGUGAAGUAAAAGUUGUAAAAUAUAAAUAAAGUACAGAUACCCAGAAAACAUUUUACUGAAGCACUUUACACCACUGGUGUACAUUGAAUGUGUAUUUUACAUUUGUGAAAUUAUUUCGAUGUGAUAUGAAAGUAAAGGGGGUUUGUGUCUCUAGAACUGUAUCACAAUUGAGAAGCUGAUUCAUGUUUAGACGGAGUAUUUGUCUGUUUUUGGCUUCCAGAGCCAGUCUACCUCUGAAAAUAACAUAAUGGCCUUGGACCUUAAAGAGUAACCUUAGGCCUCUUUAAUAAGAGGUCAUCUUGGGUUAGAACUGGGCCCUGUUGUAAAUCUGGCACCACUACCACCAUCCUCCACAUCUCAACCCUGGAACAGCGUGAAAGGAGGGGAGAGUUCUGGACACCGAGGCCCCUCCGUGAGACUGUUUGGACUGCAUGAGAAGGGUCACAAAGCACCUCUGUUUCCAGGGGCUGUAGAGGACACCUCUACUGCUUCAGCAACACUUGGACGUCCCGCUCUAUUCAAUUUAAACAAAAGUUUGUCCUUCCUUCCUGUCUGUUUUUUUGUGCGGUUUGAAGUGAGACUUCUUUGAAACAGACUGACGAUAACCAGUUUUCUUUGUGUAUAGUUAUGGAUGUGCUAUAAUUUUUCUGAUUAUGCCACAACGUAAUAUUGAGAUUUUACAUUGUGUUUUUUUUUUU